GACGAACCGUGCGAACGUUAUUCGGAUUCACUGGGCUUAAAGGGCGCGUAGGCGGCGAUUCAAGUCUGGGGUGAAAGCCUUCGGCUUAACCGGAGAAGUGCCUUGGAUACUGGAUCGCUCGAGGGGGAUAGGGGCAUGCGGAACUUCCGGUGGAGCGGUGAAAUGCGUAGAUAUCGGAAGGAACGCCGGUGGCGAAAGCGGCAUGCUGGGUCCCUUCUGACGCUGAGGCGCGAAAGCCAGGGGAGCAAACGGG
rnacentral:rRNA from 1 species